GUAGUUACUGCAGCAGCCCAUAUACUCAAAGAAGAAUGAAACAGAAAAGAUUAGUAUGGCGCUGCACAAGGAUAAUAUUACAUAAGAUAAUUUUUUUUUCAUUUUU
ensembl:snRNA Gm22080 predicted gene, 22080